rnacentral:rRNA from 1 species
ACCCCAGGAUGAGCGAGGCCACCCGCCGAGUUUAAGCAUAUCAAUAAGCGGAGGAGAGAAAAACUUUAC